rnacentral:lncRNA from 10 species
GUGGUUCAAUCUCAUGAGAACAUUAUUAGGUACACAGAACAUUCGAUUAAAACAUCUAGUAUUUUGCACCAAUAUGCAUGAUUCUUGUUGAUAUAAAAUAGUUAAAAUGAACUUCAUGGAGCACCGUCAUGACUUAUUAUUACCAGCGGGAAGCAAGCCAGGGUUAACACCCUCCCUGUCUAGUUGAUUCAGCCUAUUAAGAUUUAGCCCAUAAGACCUAUAUUAUCAAUUGACCCCACUUAUGGCAAGCUAAGAAAUAUAAAGACAAACGUGAAGUUAUAUCAGCACAUCUGCAUUCCUUUCUAUUAAGCUUUAAAAAUUUUCUUUCAAUGAUGUUUUGUACAUCAUUGUAACUUUAAGUGUACAUGUCUUGCAUUUAAAAAUAUUCCUAAGUAUUUUAUUAUUUUGAUACUAUUUUAUUUUUGAGAAAGGAUCUCGCUCUGUUACCCAGGCUAGAGUGCAGUGGUGCAAUCUCAGCUUACUGUAGUGUCUGCCUCCUGGGCUCAAGUGAUCCUCCCACUUCAGCUUCCCAAGUAGCUGGGACUACAGGCACAUGCCACAACACUUGGCUAGUGUUUUUUUUGUAGAGGUGAAGUCUCACUAUAUUGUCCAGGCUGGUCUCAGACUCCUGGGCUCAAUAAGUUCUCCUGCCUCAGCCUCCCAAAGUGCUGGGGUUAGAGGUGUGAGCCACUGUGCCUGGCCUUGAUACUAUUAAGGUUGGAAUUGUUUUCAUUUUCAGUGUAUAAAAAUACAAUUGAUUUUUUUAUAUUGAUCUGGUGUCUUUAAAUCAUGCUGAACUUGUUUAUUAGUUAUAUUUUUUAGAAGAUUUCUUGGGAUCGUCUACAUACAAGACUAUGACAAUUGUAUAUAGAGAAAUAGUUUAACUUCUUCCUUCCCAAUUGGGAUGCUUCUUAUUUCAUUUUCUUGCCUAAUUUCCCUAGCUGGAACCACAAGUGCAAUAUUGAAUAGAGGAGACCAAGGUGGACCUUGUUGUUUUACUUUUGAUGUUAGAUAUUCAGUCUUUGACCAUUCAGAAUGAUGUUAAGUACACGUUUUUCUAGAUGCCUUGGAUCAGAUCAAAGAAGUUCCUUUUACUUUUAUUUUGUUGAAUUUUUUAUCACGUUUCAGAUUUUUGUCAAAUUUUUUUAUGAAUCUUAUUGAUGUGAUAAUAUAAUUUUAGCCCUUUAUUAAUGUGGUGCGUAUAU